AUCAUGGACGGAAGGAAGAAGAUAUUUUGUUUGUCCCAACUAUGCCUACGAUCGUCCUCGUCCAGCUCACGCCUAUGAUGUACCGCCGUCGCCGCCUCCACUUUGUAAGUACUUCAGAUGGAUAGAUCAUGAUGUGCCAGAAGAUGUUAAGAAAGAUCAACAUCGAGAUUGUCUAAGGAGGCAGCGGUUGUUUGAAGAAGCAUUACAGAGAGGCUUGGAUGAAGAGCGUCGUGAAAAGGAGAGGAUGGAGCGAAAGAAGCAUGAAGAGGAGAGAGCACGCAAGGAGAAGAUUGCUCGUCAAGAGGAGAGAGCAAUAAAGCUUGCAAGGGCCCGUGAAGCCCAAGAGGAGGAUCAUGCACAUGACAAGAAAGGAAAAUGGCCGGUGUGACUCAAUAAGGCCUUACUUUUGAAAAACUAGUUAUGAACAAUGCCUUCGCUUCGAGAAACAUGUGAUGAACUGUGUCCUUAAUUUGUGAAACUUGUGUUGAACUAUGUACUUUAUUUGCGAAACAUGUCGUCAACUGUGUCUUUGAUUUGUGAAACUUGUGACGAUUCAUGAACUACAUCUGUUAUGCUGUU